GGUGUAGUGGUGUAGUGGUUUGAGUGUUGGACUAGGACUCGGAAACCAGGGUUCAAAUCCUGGCUUGGCCA